AAGGGAGCUUGCUCCCGGAUGUUAGCGGCGGACGGGUGAGUAACACGUGGGUAACCUGCCUGUAAGACUGGGAUAACUCCGGGAAACCGGAGCUAAUACCGGAUAGUUCCUUGAACCGCAUGGUUCAAGGAUGAAAGACGGUUUCGGCUGUCACUUACAGAUGGACCCGCGGCGCAUUAGCUAGUUGGUGAGGUAACGGCUCACCAAGGCGACGAUGCGUAGCCGACCUGAGAGGGUGAUCGGCCACACUGGGACUGAGACACGGCCCAGACUCCUACGGGAGGCAGCAGUAGGGAAUCUUCCGCAAUGGACGAAAGUCUGACGGAGCAACGCCGCGUGAGUGAUGAAGGUUUUCGGAUCGUAAAGCUCUGUUGUUAGGGAAGAACAAGUGCAAGAG
rnacentral:rRNA from 1 species